rnacentral:rRNA from 1 species
GAGGCCGAAAGGCGUAGUCGAUGGGAAACGGGUUAAUAUUCCCGUACUUGGUGUUACUGCGAAGGGGGGACGGAGAAGGCUAUGUUGGCCGGGCGACGGUUGUCCCGGUUUAAGCGUGUAGGCUGGUUUUCCAGGCAAAUCCGGAAAAUCAAGGCUGAGGCGUGAUGACGAGGCACUACGGUGCUGAAGCAACAAAUGCCCUGCUUCCAGGAAAAGCCUCUAAGCAUCAGGUAACAUCAAAUCGUACCCCAAACCGACACAGGUGGUCAGGUAGAGAAUACCAAGGCGCUUGAGAGAACUCGGGUGAAGGAACUAGGCAAAAUGGUGCCGUAACUUCGGGAGAAGGCACGCUGACACGUAGGUGAAGUGAUUUACUCAUGGAGCUGAAGUCAGUCGAAGAUACCAGCUGGCUGCAACUGUUUAUUAAAAACACAGCACUGUGCAAACACGAAAGUGGACGUAUACGGUGUGACGCCUGCCCGGUGCCGGAAGGUUAAUUGAUGGGGUCAGCGCAAGCGAAGCUCCUGAUCGAAGCCCCGGUAAACGGCGGCCGUAACUAUAACGGUCCUAAGGUAGCGAAAUUCCUUGUCGGGUAAGUUCCGACCUGCACGAAUGGCGUAAUGAUGGCCAGGCUGUCUCCACCCGAGACUCAGUGAAAUUGAACUCGCUGUGAAGAUGCAGUGUACCCGCGGCAAGACGGAAAGACCCCGUGAACCUUUACUAUAGCUUGACACUGAACAUUGAGCCUUGAUGUGUAGGAUAGGUGGGAGGCUUUGAAGUGUGGACGCCAGUCUGCAUGGAGCCGACCUUGAAAUACCACCCUUUAAUGUUUGAUGUUCUAACGUGGACCCGUUACCCGGGUUGCGGACAGUGUCUGGUGGGUAGUUUGACUGGGGCGGUCUCCUCCUAAAGAGUAACGGAGGAGCACGAAGGUUGGCUAAUCCUGGUCGGACAUCAGGAGGUUAGUGCAAUGGCAUAAGCCAGCUUGACUGCGAGCGUGACGGCGCGAGCAGGUGCGAAAGCAGGUCAUAGUGAUCCGGUGGUUCUGAAUGGAAGGGCCAUCGCUCAACGGAUAAAAGGUACUCCGGGGAUAACAGGCUGAUACCGCCCAAGAGUUCAUAUCGACGGCGGUGUUUGGCACCUCGAUGUCGGCUCAUCACAUCCUGGGGCUGAAGUAGGUCCCAAGGGUAUGGCUGUUCGCCAUUUAAAGUGGUACGCGAGCUGGGUUUAGAACGUCGUGAGACAGUUCGGUCCCUAUCUGCCGUGGGCGCUGGAGAACUGAGGGGGGCUGCUCCUAGUACGAGAGGACCGGAGUGGACGCAUCACUGGUGUUCGGGUUGUCAUGCCAAUGGCACUGCCCGGUAGCUAAAUGCGGAAGAGAUAAGUGCUGAAAGCAUCUAAGCACGAAACUUGCCCCGAGA